rnacentral:rRNA from 1 species
AGAGUUUGAUCCUGGCUCAGGACGAACGCUGGCGGCGUGCCUAAUACAUGCAAGUCGAGCGGACAGAUGGGAGCUUGCUCCCUGAUGUUAGCGGCGGACGGGUGAGUAACACGUGGGUAACCUGCCUGUAAGACUGGGAUAACUCCGGGAAACCGGGGCUAAUACCGGAUGCUUGUUUGAACCGCAUGGUUCAAACAUAAAAGGUGGCUUCGGCUACCACUUACAGAUGGACCCGCGGCGCAUUAGCUAGUUGGUGAGGUAAUGGCUCACCAAGGCAACGAUGCGUAGCCGACCUGAGAGGGUGAUCGGCCACACUGGGACUGAGACACGGCCCAGACUCCUACGGGAGGCAGCAGUAGGGAAUCUUCCGCAAUGGACGAAAGUCUGACGGAGCAACGCCGCGUGAGUGAUGAAGGUUUUCGGAUCGUAAAGCUCUGUUGUUAGGGAAGAACAAGUGCCGUUCAAAUAGGGCGGCACCUUGACGGUACCUAACCAGAAAGCCACGGCUAACUACGUGCCAGCAGCCGCGGUAAUACGUAGGUGGCAAGCGUUGUCCGGAAUUAUUGGGCGUAAAGGGCUCGCAGGCGGUUUCUUAAGUCUGAUGUGAAAGCCCCCGGCUCAACCGGGGGAGGGUCAUUGGAAACUGGGGAACUUGAGUGCAGAAGAGGAGAGUGGAAUUCCACGUGUAGCGGUGAAAUGCGUAGAGAUGUGGAGGAACACCAGUGGCGAAGGCGACUCUCUGGUCUGUAACUGACGCUGAGGAGCGAAAGCGUGGGGAGCGAACAGGAUUAGAUACCCUGGUAGUCCACGCCGUAAACGAUGAGUGCUAAGUGUUAGGGGGUUUCCGCCCCUUAGUGCUGCAGCUAACGCAUUAAGCACUCCGCCUGGGGAGUACGGUCGCAAGACUGAAACUCAAAGGAAUUGACGGGGGCCCGCACAAGCGGUGGAGCAUGUGGUUUAAUUCGAAGCAACGCGAAGAACCUUACCAGGUCUUGACAUCCUCUGACACCCCUAGAGAUAGGGCUUCCCCUUCGGGGGCAGAGUGACAGGUGGUGCAUGGUUGUCGUCAGCUCGUGUCGUGAGAUGUUGGGUUAAGUCCCGCAACGAGCGCAACCCUUGAUCUUAGUUGCCAGCAUUCAGUUGGGCACUCUAAGGUGACUGCCGGUGACAAACCGGAGGAAGGUGGGGAUGACGUCAAAUCAUCAUGCCCCUUAUGACCUGGGCUACACACGUGCUACAAUGGACAGAACAAAGGGCAGCGAGACCGCGAGGUUAAGCCAAUCCCACAAAUCUGUUCCCAGUUCGGAUCGCAGUCUGCAACUCGACUGCGUGAAGCUGGAAUCGCUAGUAAUCGCGGAUCAGCAUGCCACGGUGAAUACGUUCCCGGGCCUUGUACACACCGCCCGUCACACCACGAGAGUUUGUAACACCCGAAGUCGGUGAGGUAACCUUUAUGGAGCCAGCCGCCGAAGGUGGGACAGAUGAUUGGGGUGAAGUCGUAACAAGGUAACCGUA